CCCAAUCGCUGACAACCUUUGGCGGGGAAAUUCCGCCCCUUUGCCGCGUCGGAGUCUCCGUGCGGCGGCGAUAACGCUGUCAUCUCGCACCGAUCAUAAGUCAGCGGCAAACGAGCACACAGAUCCUCCGUGGCGAGACAGAACCCUCAGCGGGCCUACAGGGACGCGAGCAGCAGGCAAACAAUGCGUUGGAAAAUGGAGUGCCUCCGCCUGCCCCUCCUUGCCCGCUCGCACCUUCGGAGGCCACGAGAGGCGCGAUAGCAGCGGGCCCUCCUCGACUCUGACAAGGACUCGGCAAGAUCGGCGAACAUCAUGGUCCAAGGGAAUUCCAUUCUAACCUUGUCAGUCAGCCUAUCCAUUACCACCGCAAACAGGAAGGGGCUCAGCGCGGAACCUUGAUGCAGUCCCGCCUCCAACUUAAAUUCUUCUGACACACCAACGGCACAUCUCACCGCUGUUCUGCUGCCCUCAUACAUGUCCUGUACUAUUCUAACAUAUUUCUCCGCUACACCAGAUUUACGCAUGCAGUACCACAGUUCCUCUCUUGGUACUCUGUCAUUGGCUUUCUCUAGGUCUACAAACAUAUAAUGGAGCUCCUUUUGACUUUCUCUGUACUUUUCCACGAGCAUCCUCAAAGGCAAAUAAUGCAUCUGUGCUACUAUUUUACACAAGUUACACAAAAUGGUGUGACAAUAUUUAUUGUGACAGCCCUUUGAUAUUUUAACCAGGCAAAGUCUUUUGCGUUCCAAUUGAGUAUGUUGAAAUAUUAUGCAGACCUGUGGCUCGA